GCCCGGGUAAUGCAGUGGUUAUCGCGCGCCCCUCAGAAGGGUGAGACGCAGGUUCGAAUCCAGCCUCGGGUC